UCCGGUUUGGCACCGGCAGUCCCCCGCGAGUCCUCAGCGCCUUGCGGCCUGGUAGCAACUGGGAGCGGGGGUUGCGCUCGUUGCGGGACUUAACCCAACAUCUCACGACACGAGCUGACGACAGCCAUGCAGCACCUGUCUUGGGACUCCGAAGAGGGGCCGUGGUUUCUCACGGCUUCACCCCGCAUGUCAAACCUGGGUAAGGUUCUUCGCGUUGCGUCGAAUUAAACCACAUGCACCACCGCUUGUGCGGGCCCCCGUCAAUUCCUCUGAGUUUCAACCUUGCGGCCGUACUCCCCAGGCGGGGAACUUACUCCGUUAGGUGCGGCACCGGCGGUAACCCGCCGACACUUAGUUCCCAUCGUUUAGGGCGUGGACUAC
rnacentral:misc_RNA from 1 species